rnacentral:tmRNA from 2 species
GGGGUCGUAAAUGGUUUCGACGGGGAUCGUGGAGGCCGGAUAAGCGAGCCGAAGCCCCGUGCUUCGUUAAAAACGGGAAAAACUUAAAUUUAACUGGCAAAUCUGAUUUUGCACUCGCUGCCUAAUUAGGCUGCGCGUCGGCCCGGCGCUUCCCACGGCUCCGGUAACCGGCGUCAUCAAUGUGGGGAACCAGCCUGCCUAAGCUUUGCGGCAGGUGGGAUUUAAUGAAGCUACCGAAGCCCUGAUCCUGUCGGAGGGAGCUGCCUUGGCUGAGGGAACGUUAAUACACCGACUACGCUCGUAGAAAGUCUUGCUGACAGGUUUUCGGACAGGGGUUCAACUCCCCUCGACUCCACCA